rnacentral:ncRNA from 1 species
GUGAUGUAUGAAAAAAUAGAAGGUUAAUAUUCCCCUUGAUAAGGAUAAAAGUUGUCCAAUUGACCUUUAUAACACAUAUACAAUUAAGACAUUUAGAAUUCUCUGGCAUCUAACCAAGUCUGAUUUAUCG